UUUCGAGCAACCUCUUUCCUCUUUCUAACUCCCAGGCUUUCCAUAUUCCUCCAUAACCUAUUCUAUUCUCUUUUGCCAUUCAAUCAAUAUUUUCCUGGCGAUUUCUUCAUCUAGGUAUUCUUACCUAAGGCGCUUUUACUCCGUAGUUACCCUCACCGUCUCGUCUUCGUCUCUUCGUAUCAUACAUGUUAUAUGUUAUAUAUCGCAUAUAUUAUUAUAAUGCACGGAGAGAAAACGUUUGUUUGAGCGUGUUCGGGCAAAACCACCACAAAAGGGACGCUAGUAAUUUAUAUUUUAUCAAAUGUAAUUAAUUAACCGA